rnacentral:tRNA from 1 species
GGACUGGGUGGCGCGGUGCCAGGACGGCCGGUUCUAGGCCGGUUCCGGGCCGGUUCCAGAUCGGUCCCGGGCUG